ACGAUGAAGAGUUUGAUCCUGGCUCAGGAUGAACGCUAGCGGCAGGCCUAACACAUGCAAGUCGAGGGGUAUAAAGUGCUUGCACUUUAGAGACCGGCGCACGGGUGCGUAACGCGUAUGCAAUCUACCUAUUGCAGGGGAAUAGCCCAGAGAAAUUUGGAUUAAUGCCCCAUAGUACUAUUGAAUAGCAUUUUUUAAUAGUUAAAGAUUUAUCGGCAAUAGAUGAGCAUGCGUCCUAUUAGCUAGUUGGUGUGGUAACGGCACACCAAGGCAACGAUAGGUAGGGGUCCUGAGAGGGAGAUCCCCCACACUGGUACUGAGACACGGACCAGACUCCUACGGGAGGCAGCAGUGAGGAAUAUUGGACAAUGGGCGAGAGCCUGAUCCAGCCAUGCCGCGUGCAGGAAGACUGCCUUAUGGGUUGUAAACUGCUUUUAUACAGGAAGAAACAUCCCGACGUGUCGGGACUUGACGGUACUGUAAGAAUAAGGAUCGGCUAACUCCGUGCCAGCAGCCGCGGUAAUACGGAGGAUCCAAGCGUUAUCCGGAAUCAUUGGGUUUAAAGGGUCCGUAGGCGGGCAGCUAAGUCAGUGGUGAAAGUCUGUGGCUCAACCAUAGAAUUGCCAUUGAUACUGGUUGUCUUGAAUUACUAUGAAGUGGUUAGAAUAUGUAGUGUAGCGGUGAAAUGCUUAGAUAUUACAUGGAAUACCAAUUGCGAAGGCAGAUCACUAAUAGUAUAUUGACGCUGAGGGACGAAAGCGUGGGUAGCGAACAGGAUUAGAUACCCUGGUAGUCCACGCCGUAAACGAUGGAUACUAGCUGUUGGACCGCAAGGUUCAGUGGCUAAGCGAAAGUGAUAAGUAUCCCACCUGGGGAGUACGUUCGCAAGAAUGAAACUCAAAGGAAUUGACGGGGGCCCGCACAAGCGGUGGAGCAUGU
rnacentral:rRNA from 1 species